UGAAGGAAGCAGCGUGUUUUUAUUCCUGUCUGUAAAGACUGGGUAACCCGUGGAACCUCAUUCUAAAUUGGGAUAGGGGCUUGCCAUUGUUCCCCUUGAAC
rnacentral:rRNA from 1 species